rnacentral:rRNA from 1 species
CAGGCCUAACACAUGCAAGUCGCGGGGCAGCGUGGGGAUGGCUUGCCAUCUCUGACGGCGACCGGCGCACGGGUGAGUAACGCGUAUCCAACCUGCCCCUUACCACGGGAUAGCCCUCCGAAAGGGGGAUUAAUACCGUAUGUGGCCACGAGACGGCAUCCGACCGUGGCUAAAGGCUCAGCGGUAAGGGAUGGGGAUGCGUCUGAUUAGGUAGUCGGCGGGGUAACGGCCCACCGAGCCGUCGAUCAGUAGGGGUUCUGAGAGGAAGGUCCCCCACAUUGGAACUGAGACACGGUCCAAACUCCUACGGGAGGCAGCAGUGAGGAAUAUUGGUCAAUGGGCGCGAGCCUGAACCAGCCAAGUAGCGUGAGGGAUGACGGCCCUACGGGUUGUAAACCUCUUUUAUGCGGGGAUAAAGUUAGCCACGUGUGGUUUUUUGCAGGUACCGCAUGAAUAAGGACCGGCUAAUUCCGUGCCAGCAGCCGCGGUAAUACGGAAGGUCCGGGCGUUAUCCGGAUUUAUUGGGUUUAAAGGGAGCGUAGGCCGCAUGUUAAGCGUGCUGUGAAAUGUCGGGGCUCAACCUGGGCAGCGCAGCGCGAACUGGCUUGCUUGAGUGCGCGGAAGGGAGGCGGAAUUCGUGGUGUAGCGGUGAAAUGCUUAGAUAUCACGAAGAACUCCGAUUGCGAAGGCAGCUUCCCGCAGCGCUACUGACGCUGAAGCUCGAAGGUGCGGGUAUCGAACAGGAUUAGAUACCCUGGUAGUCCGCACGGUAAACGAUGGAUGCCCGCUGUGCGCCUUUUUGGUGCGUGGCCAAGCGAAAGCGUUAAGCAUCCCACCUGGGGAGUACGCCGGCAACGGUGAAACUCAAAGGAAUUGACGGGGGCCCGCACAAGCGGAGGAACAUGUGGUUUAAUUCGAUGAUACGCGAGGAACCUUACCCGGGCUUGAACUGUCGCGGAACGACCGGGACACCAGUCGAGGUGCUGCAUGGUUGUCGUCAGCUCGUGCCGUGAGGUGUCGGCUCAAGUGCCAUAACGAGCGCAACCCUUGCCGUCAGUUACCAUCAAGUAAUGUUGGGGACUCUGGCGGGACUGCCACCGCAAGGUGUGAGGAAGGGGGGGAUGACGUCAAAUCAGCACGGCCCUUACGUCCGGGGCGACACACGUGUUACAAUGGCGGCCACAGAGGGGCACUACCUGGCGACAGGAUGGAAUCUCGAAAAGCCGUCUCAGUCCGGAUCGGAGUCUGCAACCCGACUCCGUGAAGCUGGAUUCGCUAGUAAUCGCGCAUCAGCCAUGGCGCGGUGAAUACGUUCCCSG